CAACUCAGGUAUGUGGAAGAUGGAUGCCCAACUCUUGGAUGUGGGAAAGAGAAGAGGGAGAGAGGAAGAGGCAUGGAGAUAUAGGAGAAAGAGUUUAGAAUUCUCAAAAUUCAAUCUUAUGGAACCCUAGGAAACCAUCUUCUUAAAUAGGCCUUUCUUGAUUCCAAAUCAUUAUUGAAUCAAGCUAAAAAGAUUAGAUCUUAUCUCAUAAGUUCUCUUACCUUUUAAUUUGAUUUUUUUAAAAAAAAUCAAACCUAAUUAGAAAGGCCAUCUCCUCUUUUGGCAAG
rnacentral:lncRNA from 1 species